ACAAACAGUUUACCAAGAACUAACUCAUCUAUGUGGCAAAAUAGUGAGAAGAUUUGUAAGUAGAGGUGACAUGCCUAACGAGCCUGGUGAUAGCUGGUUGUCCAGAAAAUGAAUCUAAGUUCAGCUUUAAAGAUACCAAAAAUUCAAAUAAACCCCACUGUAGCUUUAAAAGUUAGUCUAAAAAGGUACAGCCUUUUAGAAACGGAUACAACCUUGACUAGAGAGUAAAAUUUAACACUACCAUAGUAGGCCUAAAAGCAGCCAUCAAUUAAGAAAGCGUUAAAGCUCAACAACAAAAAUUAAAUAGAUUCCAACAACAAAUGAUUAACUCCUAGCCCCAAUACUGGACUAAUCUAUUAUAGAAUAGAAGCAAUAAUGUUAAUAUGAGUAACAAGAAAAAUUUUCUCCUUGCAUAAGUCUAAGUCAGUGCCUGAUAAUACUCUGACCACUAACAGUCAAUAAAAAUAAUCCAACAAUAAACAAUUUAUUGAUUAUACUGUUAACCCAACACA
rnacentral:rRNA from 1 species